rnacentral:rRNA from 1 species
UUCGUAGGCGGUGUGAUUAGUCAGGUGUUAAAUCCUCGGGCUCAACCCGAGAAUCGCAUUUGAAACGGUCACACUAGAAGAUAUAAGAGGUUAGCAGAACUCUCGGUGUAGGGGUGAAAUCCGUUGAUAUCGAGGGGAAUACCAAAUGCGAAGGCAGCUAACUGUUGUAUUCUUGACGCUGAGGAACGAAAGCUAGGGUAGCGAACAGGAUUAGAUACCCUGGUAGUCC